UAUAUUACACAUUUAUAGUAAUAUAUUAUUGCAAUUUUAAGCACAGAUUCUUAUUAAAUAACUAACUUAUUUAAUAUUUAAAUAGUUUUUUAACUGCACAAGAAAGCAAUUUAUCUGAAAGCAGUUUAUAAUCCAGUUUAUAUGUUUUGAUACGGUAUGUGAGUGUGCGUGUGCACGAAUGCUCACAUUUGCAUCGAUUUUGUGUUUACCCGGUAUCUAACAUGGCAUUGCGCGCGAAUGGUAUAAAAAGGUUGAAUUUAUUUGCAAUGAUUUUUGCAUUCUAAAAAAAAAAGAAGAUCUCGUCGAAUAAGAAGCUUCUAGUAGCUACAAUUACUAUUACAUUAUAUACAAUUACGAUAUAUUGUAAUUGUUAUAAAAUUACCGGCAUGUGAUUCUUUUGGUGUUUUCCGCCUUCUCGAAUGAACGAUCUUAUCAGAUUAUCAGAUUAUCAGAUUGGAUUAGGCUUCUUAAGUCCGAUUUUCGAAGGAUUAAGUACCACACGUUAUGUUUUAUAAAUUUGGAAUUUAUCUAAGCAAUCUAUUUAUCUAAUGUGCAAUUAUAAGAAGAAUUGAGAAUUAUAUUAUAUAUAUAUGAUUUUUCAAAGUGAAAAAGUAUGUAUUUAUAUUGAACUGUUAUAAAUAUUAUGGCAUUUAAAAUAUAUAAUUCUAUUUUCAAUGCCAUUAUAUUAUACAUUGAUUAUUAUAUUACUACUUUAUAUAUUGAGGCUGUAAUCAGAUUAUGGAAUAGACUGAGGUUUGAUAUAAAGAAAUAUCAAAACAUAGAAAAUGUUUUGUUGGUAAAAUGUUCAAGGAACGAACUUUGUGAACUAGUUCUUGUUCUUGAACUAGACAAAAUAUGUUAACUGCUGGUGUUCACAAGAAAGAAAAACUUGAAUCUGCACAAUAAGAUUAGUAGGAAUCAAUUUAUUGCCAUAAAUGUGGAAUGCAAUUUUAUUUAAAUAGCAUGAUCACAAAAAGAAUUAAUAUAAAAUCACUAGAAAAUAUUCACUAGAAUGUUUUCUAAUUUAUAGAACUUUCCUUCUAUUUCUAUCUUUCUAUCUUUCUUUCUCUCUUCAGAAUGUACACACACAUAUAUACAUUCUUUCACUCUCUGUCUGCUAACCUGACUAUCUGUUUCUCUGUCUGUCUGUCUUUGUCACUAUCUUUAUACUGAUUUUUAACUUUACACGCUUGACUCUUUUUACGGUCAUGAUUUUAAGCGUGUGCUUCAUCAAAACUAGUCUCUAUUUUAGGAUUCAAUUUAGGAUUCUUAAAAACUAUUUCUAACUGACUUCAAAAGAAGAUGCUUUAAAUACUUCAAGCCAGGUUCUAUGUGUGAAAAAAAAAAUAUACUGGUUCAAAUUGUUUUAAACACCUCAAAACUUUUGUUUUCAUCCUUACUUAACAUUUUUAAUUAAUCCUAUAUUUCAAUCCUGAAUAUAUUUAAAAAAAAUUGAAUAUUUUUUCUUAUACAUUAUCCCAAUUUAAUUCGUAUUCUAAACUAAAUAACUCUAAUUUCAAAAAGAUUUUAUUCAAUGAUUAAUCGAUUUGAUGUAUCAUUUCCUUUUAAGAGAGGCUAGUGUAAUCAAUUAAUCAAAAGCAAGAUGCGAAGCUUUUGAAACUUAAUAUCUCAACAUUCAGGUUUAUCCAGAUCUGGUAAUACUAUUUAAGGGAUAGAGAAAUAGUCCCUUCGAAUUAAAUUGUGUAUCAUUGAGAAGGAAAUUAACUUAUAAUAAUGAAUAAAUAGGUACGCACAGUAAAGGUAGAUGCGCGCAUGUAAGCCUGGCUGUAGAGCCACGCCCGAGAACGCAGUCAUUUAGAUCUGAACUCGGAUGAAAUGCAACCAAGUCCACAGCGAAGAGAACAACCGAACCCACCCGAUGUGUGCACACUAUUAGACGAAUUAUAUACACAUGUAUAUAUUACACUAUUAGAGAAAAAUCUACAAAUCUAUUACACGAAAUUUAUCCCCGCAAGAAAACCGGAAAUCUCUCCCUGCGAAAAAAAAAAAAAGAAAGGAAAAACAUGGAUGAAAAAUACCUA
rnacentral:lncRNA from 1 species